AGUGCAAAGACACAGAGGUGGCGAUGAGCCCCAUCUGGUUGGGACAGAGUGAAAAAGGGGUUCAGCUGGAGGGGCCUGAGAGGUGAGGGUGGCAGAACGUGUGGAGGUGUAAGCUCAGCAGAUGGUGGACACCCUGGAGGCCAUUGUGAGGCUCUGGUUCUCCCUCUGUGUGAUUUCAAGAUCCAUUGCAUGGUUGCAGCUGAGAAGUGAACAAGCCUUAUGACCUGGUUUCUCUUGAAGAGGAUCUUUCCGAUAUACAGGGAGUCCACGGAGCCUCCCCUGCAAGCAUCAGUACAGAAGUCGAUGAUAAUCUGGAUGCAAGCCCAGGAGUGUGGAGUCCACUGACUCAGAAGACCUGCAUCUAAGGAAUUGGCUGUUCUUAUCCUUAAGAAUGAUGACUGUGUUUCCAAUUCCAGUAGACCCUUUGAUGCGUUCUGAAUAAAUAUUCCUUUUGGAAUUG
rnacentral:lncRNA from 1 species